CUCUUUUGCAGGAUUGUCGGCUUGUAUCAGGAGAUUGUUGGAAAAUAAUCAUGAAGCCACACAAAGGAUUCAAACAUUAGAGAUUCUGGAGAGUGCUGUCACCAAAGAGAAGGACAAGUUCAAGCAAUCUGUGGAUGAAGAAAAGAAAAAGAUCCAAGACUUGGAAAAUCACCUGAGAAGUAUGACUGAGAUCAUGUUAAAGCAGCAGUUACUCAUGCAAGACGAACAGCUAAAGAUCACUCAGGAUGAGAACGAGUYACUGAAGCAGAAAAUUCAG
rnacentral:lncRNA from 1 species